GUGCACACUGGCGGUAGGCCUAACACAUGCAAGUCGAACGGCAGCACCGUAAGAGCUUGCUCUUACGGGUGGCGAGUGGCGGACGGGUGAGGAAUACAUCGGAAUCUACUUUUUCGUGGGGGAUAACGUAGGGAAACUUACGCUAAUACCGCAUACGACCUACGGGUGAAAGCAGGGGAUCUUCGGACCUUGCGCGAUUGAAUGAGCCGAUGUCGGAUUAGCUAGUUGGCGGGGUAAAGGCCCACCAAGGCGACGAUCCGUAGCUGGUCUGAGAGGAUGAUCAGCCACACUGGAACUGAGACACGGUCCAGACUCCUACGGGAGGCAGCAGUGGGGAAUAUUGGACAAUGGGCGCAAGCCUGAUCCAGCCAUACCGCGUGGGUGAAGAAGGCCUUCGGGUUGUAAAGCCCUUUUGUUGGGAAAGAAAAGCAGCAGGUUAAUACCCCGCUGUUCUGACGGUACCCAAAGAAUAAGCACCGGCUAACUUCGUG
rnacentral:rRNA from 1 species